UUGUAAAGUGCAUGAAAGAAUUCACACUGGGGAGAAACCAUAUAUAUGUAAGCAAUGUGGGAAAGCAUUCAGUACACAGAGUUAUUGUCAAAUUCAUGAAAGAACUCACAGUAAGGAGAAACCCUAUGUAUGUUAGCAAGGUGGGAAAGCUUUAGGCACACACAGGAAUUGUCAAAUACAUCAAGUCUCAGUGGGGAGGAGACCUGUAGAGAAAACUAAUGUGUAAUUAAUAUGUAAUGAUAAUUAAUAUGUAAUGUUUGUUGUCAAUAUUUCUUCAUAUGUUUUUCAGGAAAUACAAUUCCAGAUGGAGAUAAACUAUAGUACAUAAUAUGUUUUUCAGUAAAUUACUUAUAAAUAUCAGGAUUAUGUACCUGUGGUAUUUAAUGUAAAAAUAGUGAGUUUACAUAAUUAUGUAUUUUUGUGUCCAUGUCUUUGAACUUAAUACGUAGUGUCUUUUAAUUAAGUAUGGUAAAUUGAAAUGUGCUUUUUAACUUUCAAGUAUAGUUGGUGUUUAAGUAGUUUUGGCUUUGUUUUUAAAAUUAGGAGGCAUGGACCACUAAAAAAAUUAAUUUCCUUAAUUGUGGAGAUUUUGCCACUACAAUUUAUUUUAAGGAUUUGAUGCAUAUACUUCAUAUUCUGUGUAACAAAAGACUUUUUAGUUUGAUGGUAUAUUUUAUAUUAAGAUAGAUUUUCCAAGACUUGUGAACAUGUGUUUUUAACAAAGUUGAUUUCUUUUCCCCAACUUGCACUUUAGCAAAUGUUGUUUUUUAUAUACUGAUAAGCUACCUCCUUGUUAUGACCUAAUUUUGCCUAUUUUCCUUUCAUUUUGGGGCCAGUAUUAGCAUUUACAUAAAAUUUUGUUUUCUUAUGGAAUUCUACUUUUCAUGUUUAGGCAACUGGAUUUAUUGUAUUCCCUGCUGCUGUGAUGUCAAUUUUUGAUAAUUAUUAUCAUUUAUACCUAGUAAGCUGACCUAAUUGCAUGAAGGAGAGCAUAAUUUGUGAGAGGUGUCAUUGUGCUUAUUAAAAACUGAAAUUUACUAUUAUAAUUCAGAUUUUGUUCUGCUUUCUCAAUUUUUGAGAUAGAUUUAUACAGUACCACUUCUCAUUGUUCAUAAGGACCGCUGUCUCAUGUUUGAGUAACAUCUGCAACCACUUCAACUUCAUUGAAAUUAUGAUGCACUUAGCAUCAACUUCACUGCAUUCUCUCCCGGAUUCAAUGACUUGUUAAUCAGUGUAUUGCACUGGAACAUACUUAUGCAUAUUUAUAUAGGUUUCUUUUUCUACUCUUGCUAUAAAGGAAUUUUUACAUUUCCUCAUAUAAUCAGAGGCUGAAUACUUCUACAAUGGGUGACUGCUCAAGUGAUGGUAGAAACUUAAGAACAAGAAUGAAUAAUGCAAAUAUUCCUAGUGGGGAGGCUUUGAAGCUCCAUGGGAAACCACUCAUAAAGGUCUAUGUCCAAAGACUGAAUGAAUACUAGAUUCUGAUAUUCUUGGAUGAUGACAGCACCAAACAUCACAUCUUUUUAAAAAAAAAUUAAGUAUGGUGACUCCCUGAACAGUGUGGGAGGCAGGUGGAGCCCUGGGCAACCUCUGGGGCCUUAGUGGCUACUCACCACACCCAUAGAGUGUCUGCAGGUGCGGGCAGCAGUAAGUCCUGCUCUGUCAGCAACCAACUGUCAAGGGUAAACUGAUACUCUUCACUGUACUCCAUUUAAUAAAUUACAUGUAGUAGUA